UAUUCAUUGCAGCACUAUUCACAAUGGCCAAGACAUGGAAACAACCUAAAUGACUGGAUUAGGAAGAUGUGGUACAUAUACACAAUGGAAUAGUACUCAGGCAUAAAAAAGAAUAAAAUAAUGCCAUUUGCAGCAACAUGGAUGGAACUAGAGACUCUCAUACUGAGUGAAGUAAGUCAGAAAGAGAAAGACAAAUACCAUAUGAUAUCACUUAUAUCUGGAAUCUGAUAUACAGCACAAAUGAACCUUUCCACAGAAGAGAAAAUCAUGGACUUGGAGAAGAGACUUAUACUUGCCAAGGCGGAGGGAGAGGGAGUUGGAUGGAUUGGGAACUUGGGGUUAAUAGAUGCAGACUAUUGCCCUUGGAAUGGAUAAGCAAUGAGAUCCUGCUGUGUAGCACUUGGAACUAUGUGUAGUCACUUAUGAUGGAGCAUGAUAAUGUGACAAAAAAGAAUCUAUACGUGUGUGUAAUUGGUUCACCAUGCUGUAUAGUAGAAAAUUGACAGAACACUGUAAACCAGCUAUACUGAAAAAAGUAAAAAUCAUUAUAUAAAUAAAAAUUAUUUUAUAAAGGUAGACUAAUAUUAUACGUGAUUUUUUAAGAAAAAAAGUUUACUCUUUGUUUUAACUUAGUUUUGGAAGACAGCAGAAAAGUGUCUUAAGCAAGGGUCCUUUCUUCUAAUUUAGACAGAGUGGCAUUCUCGCUAGUGACUGGGACAUAUGUACCCCUAUCCCUGGCCACUUACCCUCAAACUUUCGAAAUUGGCCUCCGGAAACCAUCCCAGGGUGUUUCCCAGCUGUGUGUCUCUCCCCCAGACUCUGUCCCACCAGACACAUUUCUCACAUUCUUAGCUUCUCACCUAUCAUCCUUUACUGGGAGAGCAGUGAGGCAACCCUAAAUAAUUUGGGGGGUUUUCAGUGUGGAGGACAAGGAAUGUACCUGUCAUUCACUGACCCAAAAGUCCCUGACACUCACCAUGUUUCAGAAUCUUCUUGAUUCUGUCCUGCACAGGAGUAAACAGAAGAUAACCAUUCAUUUCUCUGUGUCCUUCUAUGUCUAAGAGACUAAGUCUACAAAGCUGUACAUUUUGCAGGGUAUUUAAGGCAACCAGGAGACACUGCAAGACCUCUUCCUUAGAAGCAUUUGCACACCGAGUCGGUAAUGCCUGGUGAACAUCGUCUCCAUCUGGUGGAACAAAGCAAAGUAUCCUCUUACAAGCUCAUUAAACCUCUGCUGGGUCACUCUAUUCCCAGCUCACCUAGAGCAGCUGUCUGCUUAAGAGAUGUCACGUCCACCUCCCCUUUGUGCUCUGUGUUUCAGUGAUUCACAGAGUGACGGAAAUCUUCAGCGCUUUCUCUUCCCAUCUUGCCCGGGAAACCUGUUGGCAAUUAUAGCCUUUACUCGACAAGGUCCUUUUGACAUAGCAGCUGAUGGCAGUUGCCACCUGGAGGAUUCAGCUGUUUUAGGAACGGGGUGACAGUCAUCGGCUUGGAUUUCCACUGGCUACCACUUUUGCUGUUAAAACUUUUCCAAGACUUUUGGGGGUGGUUAUUUCUUCUUUUGCCAUCGUGACUCUUUUCCUUUCUCACCAUGGGUGCUGUCGUGUAUAAUUAAGCUCUGUGCUCUAAAAUAAAGUCAGAAGUGGUGAUUACAUUACCAUCAGCUGAAUGCCUAUGGAAUUUAGAGCAGCUUCAUGUGGUGACUUUUAAUUUUGUUUGCUUUUAACAAGAACUUAGUUCAUACACCCAUGAAACAUUUCACUUUAGAAACUAGAGGAUGGGUUUGAAUCACCCUGUUUGCAUCUUGACAUCAGAAUUUUUCCACCUGGGCUCUAUUAACAUUUUAGGUUGGAUAACUCUUUGCUGUAGAAAGUGUCUUGUGCAUUAUAGGAUGUUUACCAGCAUCCCUACCUAUGCCAAUAGGACCCUUCUCUCAAGCUGUGACAUCAAAAAAUGUCUCCAGUCAUUACCAAAUGUCCCCUGCGGGUCAAAUUUGUCUCCAGUUGAGAAUCAUUGUUCUAAGUGAUAAAUUAUUGAUAUAGAUCGUAUUCAGUUUGUUAACAUACAUUUUCUUUUUUGACAUUUUAUUUAUUUUUUCUUUUCCAUUAUGGUUUUCCACAGGAUAUUGAAGAUCGUUCCCUAUACUCUACAUUAGGACCUGCUUUAUGCAGCCUACAUGUAAUAGUUUGUAUCUGCUAAUCCCAAAGUCCAAACCCAUCCCUCCCAACUCUCCUCCCCCUUGGCAACUACUGGUCUGUCCUCUGUGUCUGUGAGUCUGACUCUGUCUCAUGGAUAAGUUCAUUUAUGUCAUAUUUUAGAUUCCACACAUAAGAGAUAUUAUAUAAUAUUCAUCUGUCUCUUUCUGACUUACUUCACUUAGUAUGAUAAUCUCUAGGUCCAUACAUGUUGCUACAAAUGGCAUUAUUUCAUUCUUUUUAUGGCUGAAUAAUGUUCCAUUGUAUAGAUACAUAAACCACACCUUCUUUAUCCAGUCCUCUGCCAAUGGACAUUUAGGUUAGUUCUGUGUCUUGGCUAUUGUGAAUGGUGCUGCUAUGACGUAAGGGUGCAAGUAUCUUUUUGAAUUAUAGUAUUGUUAGUCCCAAGAAGGGGGGCAAGAGCGUGGGAGAAGACGGGAGGAUACUGAGGAAUUUGCUAAGGAGGGAGGAAGGAAGCUGGUUCUCACAGGAAACAGUCUCCAAUUCCUGGUGACGGCAGGAUGGAGUCAGGUCCACAGGGUAGCAGCUGGUACUUGAAGACGCAGGGCACUGCUAAGAAAAAUGUAGCCAGGGGUCCAUAAGAACUGAUUCAAAGAUGACUGACAGUUAACUUCAGAUACUUUGUUUCAGUCUCAAGAUUGAGGUUCACCACCAGCCCACUCCUUAGAAAAUAGGCAAGGGAGUUUCUAGAUGUGGCUCAGCGAGUUAAGAACCUGACAUAGCAUCCAUGAGGAUAGGAGUUUGAUUCCUGACCUUGUUCAGUGGUUUAAGGAUCUGGCAUUGCCACAGCUGCUGUAUAGGUCACAGAUGUGGCUGUGCCUGUGGCGUAGGCCAGCAAUUGCAGCUUCAAUUCAACCUCUAGCCUGGGAACUUCCAUAUGCUGUAUACGUGCAGCCAUAAAAAGAAAAAAACAAAGGCAGAAUAUCCUAUAUCCACUGUGUUUUGCAGUCCGCACUGCCUAUUCGAAUGCCUAUAGCGUGACACUGGCCACACAGGGCUAUUCUAGACCUGAGCCCUCUCAUCCCCUGCCCCUCAAGUGAGUUCAUGCGAUCCCAGGAUGCUUCCUGUGGACUCACCAUCACUCUCGGUCCACAGCUGCAGUGUGCCCAGGUCUUGGCCUGACUCCAGGGAGGUCUGGCUGAUAGAAAGAUGGCAGAACCUGACUGGCCUCUUCUUUGAUCCUCAGCAGCUCUUCUCUGGCAGUCCUCAACGACACCCACCUGAGCACCUAAGUUUUUCGCUGCUGAAUAAAUCCUCUAGCUGCCAAAGGAUUUAUUCCCCAUCACUGUAAAAUUUAUUUAACAGUACCUGACAUUAUUGGCCCAGAAGCACAAAGUCAGGUGAUAAGAAUUAAACAAGACUGAGGAUGGGCAAAGUGAGAAAUGAAAUAUGUAAGAGGUGCUGAUGGAUUUCUGAGAUGCCCUUUAGGAAAUAAAAUACUUGAAUAAGCGAAGCCAGAUGCAUAUUAUGGUCUAAAAGGAGACGGAACAUCAGGAUGAGACAAUGAGUAUGUUCAGUAAGAACCAGGAAAUGUACUAGAAAUAGCAAAGGACUUAGAAUCUGUCCAGUGUGGGUGCAGAUCUCAGCUGUGUGACCAUGGAUGAUAUAUUUGACCUCUCUGAGCCUUUGAUUUCCCGUGUAAAUAAAUUUAAGUUGCCCUGAGUUAACCAAAGCUUAUGAAGUUCCCUUUUUGAAAAAAAUGAAAUUAACAAAUAGUAGCUGUGAAAAUGAAAAAAGAACGUAUAUACAACAGCUCUCCCUUGCCUGGCACAUGCUGGGCGCUCCAAAGUUGGUGGCUAUUAGCAGUGCUAGGGAAAGGUAGGGGAGUUUGACAAGAGGAAGGGGUUCUGAAGGUCUUUGAUCUUGGCCAGGUCAACUUUGACUUGGGACUAGUUAAAUGUGGGGAAGAAGCUACUAAACACUGGGUAAACCAUACAUGCUUCCCUGUAUCACAAGGCAAAGUGGCACAGCGGGCCCAUCUCCUGUUCCUAAGAAGCGGGUAAACCAGGCGGAUGGUUAACUCACUGGCCUGGUUGGGCUUGUCCCGUCGCUGUCCCCGCUGACAUCGGUGAGCUCUCCCCAGGUCCCGCUCCUGCUGCCAGUGCCAGCCCAGAGCCCUCAUGGUAGCACCCCCUCCUCUCCCACUCUGCUCCUGCAGACUUUCCCGUGUCAGGCCUGUCACACCCACACUGCCUCUUUGCGUGCACUGCAGCCACUGUCCCGGCUUAGGGCUUCACCUCUUGUUCUCAGAUGCCUAGCUGGUCUCCUUCCUAUACAGGCCUUCUUCUCUGACAUCCUUAAACACUGCUUGGUACAUGGCUGUUUUCCAAGCAAACAGUUUUGAUAUUGAUGGAGAUGAACAGAGUGAACUUAAAGCUGUAGCCUGACAUUCAAGACUCUCAAAAUUGGAGUUCCAGUUGUGUGUGGCACAGCAGAAAUGAAUCCAACUAGUAUCCAUGAGGAUCCGGGUUUGAUCCCUGGUUUUACUCAGUGGAUCGGGGAUCUAGCAUUGCCAUGCACUGUGAUGUAGGUUGCAGACAUGGCUCGGAUCCCGAGUUGCUAUGGCUGUGGUGUAGGCCUGUAUCUAUAGCUCUGAUUCAACCCCUGGCCUGGGAACUUCCUUAUGCUAUGGGAGCGGCCCUAAAG
rnacentral:lncRNA from 1 species